GAUGAACGCUAGCUACAGGCUUAACACAUGCAAGUCGAGGGGUAGCACGGAGGAAGCUUGCUUCCUUGGGUGACGACCGGCGCACGGGUGUGUAACGCGUAUCCGACCUACCCAUUACUCGGGCACAGCCGCUCGAAAGAGUGAUUGAUUCCCGAUAUGUCAUUAGAGUAGAUUUAAUGAUGAAAGAUUUAUCGGUAAUGGAUGGGGAUGCGUAAGAUUAGGUAGUAGGCGGGGUAACGGCCCACCUAGCCGACGAUCUUUAGGGGUUCUGAGAGGAAGGUCCCCCACACUGGUACUGAGACACGGACCAGACUCCUACGGGAGGCAGCAGUGAGGAUUAUUGGUCAAUGGGCGGAAGCCUGAACCAGCCAAGUAGCGUGAAGGAUUACAGCCCUACGGGUUUUAAACUUCUUUUAUAUAAGAGUAAUGUGCACUACGUGUAGUGUAUUGCAAGUGUUAUAUGAAUAAGCAUCGGCUAACUCCGUGCCAGCCGCCGCGGUAAAAC
rnacentral:rRNA from 1 species